GAAAAUUAGGCUCAAAUAUCUUAUAUUGUUUCGAACUGAAGGCCUAACUUCUCAAAUUCAUGCCACAGAAUAUAAACCUAUAUGUUCCACAUAUAAUUGAGGGAAACCCCCAUUUAUGUUUGAGUAGCCACUUUCGUGUCCAAUACUAUAUCGAAUCAAAUGCACAUAUUUUCCUGAGUUCUAACGUGUACAAUUACAAAAUCAAUAAUGUGGCGCGUCGCAUAAGCAUAAUCCAAUAACAAGAUUGCAUUUACAUUUAUACGCAUUCUAAUGUUUAUUUUUUGCGUCAAGUUGAAACUAGGCUCAAAUUUCUAAUAGACAUUCAUCUUUUUCAAACUGAAUGCCUAACUUUUUAAAUUCAUGUCACAAGAUAUAGACCUGUCAGCUCCACAUAUAGUUGAUGGGGACCCCAUUUAUGUUCAAGUAGUCAUUUCCUUCUCCAAUAUUAUAUCGAAUCCAAUCCAAUAAUUUCCCCCGUUCUAACGUGUUUUACAAUUACACAAUCAAUAUUGUGGCACGUCGCAUAAGCAUAAUCCAAUAGGAAAAUUACAUUUAUACUGAUGGUAUGUACGCUUGUUUAUUUUUUGCCUCAAAUUUAAACUUAGGCUCAAAUUUCUAAUAGAUAUUCAUUUGUUUCGAACUGAAUGCCUAACUUCCCUAACUUCUGAAUUCAGGGCACAAAAUAUAAACCUAUAUUUAUAUUUAAUUAGUCAUUUUAUUAUUGAAUAGCGUACUGAAUCAAAUCUUUGUAGGAUUACAAAAUCAAUAUUGUGGUUGUGCACGUCACAAAGGCGUAAUCCAAUUUGGCCAUGCUUAUCAGUGGGAGGAUUUGCGUUUCUAGCAAUUAAACAUAGCAAAAUAAUUUUCUUUUCAGGUUAAAAGCAAACCAAACAUACACUUUUAUCUCUGGCAUAUAUUUCCUUCGAGAGCCAAUUUAAAUACAUAGAUUUUAUUACUGUGAACAAGUAAUAUAUUUUAUGCAAUCGUUAAACUAAAUUCUAUCUCAAAGUAUUAAAAAAACUUAGUCUACAAACGCUAUUUCACGGUAUAAUAUACACGUUCAUGUUUACAUAUACUGUACAAAUACUUCUAGGACCCUAUCAAAUAAUCAAAAUACUAAUGCUUCUGAUCCUGGUACUUUCUGCUUUUUGAGCUGUACCGUGAAAUGGUGCAGGUUUAUUUUAACCAAAACCAAAUCAGGAGACGAAACUGAUCGAGCUAGUGAGUUUCGAAGGAGUGCUAAAAUCCACAAUGAACCGUUCGAAGCAAAAAAAAACUAC
rnacentral:lncRNA from 1 species